rnacentral:rRNA from 1 species
GGUUAAGCGACUAAGCGUACACGGUGGAUGCCCUGGCAGUCAGAGGCGAUGAAGGACGUGCUAAUCUGCGAUAAGCGUCGGUAAGGUGAUAUGAACCGUUAUAACCGGCGAUUUCCGAAUGGGGAAACCCAGUGUGUUUCGACACACUAUCAUUAACUGAAUCCAUAGGUUAAUGAGGCGAACCGGGGGAACUGAAACAUCUAAGUACCCCGAGGAAAAGAAAUCAACCGAGAUUCCCCCAGUAGCGGCGAGCGAACGGGGAGCAGCCCAGAGCCUGAAUCAGUGUGUGUGUUAGUGGAAGCGUCUGGAAAGGCGCGCGAUACAGGGUGACAGCCCCGUACACAAAAAUGCACAUACUGUGAGCUCGAUGAGUAGGGCGGGACACGUGGUAUCCUGUCUGAAUAUGGGGGGACCAUCCUCCAAGGCUAAAUACUCCUGACUGACCGAUAGUGAACCAGUACCGUGAGGGAAAGGCGAAAAGAACCCCGGCGAGGGGAGUGAAAAAGAACCUGAAACCGUGUACGUACAAGCAGUGGGAGCCUCUUAAUGGGGUGACUGCGUACCUUUUGUAUAAUGGGUCAGCGACUUAUAUUCUGUAGCAAGGUUAACCGAAUAGGGGAGCCGAAGGGAAACCGAGUCUUAACUGGGCGUUAAGUUGCAGGGUAUAGACCCGAAACCCGGUGAUCUAGCCAUGGGCAGGUUGAAGGUUGGGUAACACUAACUGGAGGACCGAACCGACUAAUGUUGAAAAAUUAGCGGAUGACUUGUGGCUGGGGGUGAAAGGCCAAUCAAACCGGGAGAUAGCUGGUUCUCCCCGAAAGCUAUUUAGGUAGCGCCUCGUGAAUUCAUCUCCGGGGGUAGAGCACUGUUUCGGCAAGGGGGUCAUCCCGACUUACCAACCCGAUGCAAACUGCGAAUACCGGAGAAUGUUAUCACGGGAGACACACGGCGGGUGCUAACGUCCGUCGUGAAGAGGGAAACAACCCAGACCGCCAGCUAAGGUCCCAAAGUCAUGGUUAAGUGGGAAACGAUGUGGGAAGGCCCAGACAGCCAGGAUGUUGGCUUAGAAGCAGCCAUCAUUUAAAGAAAGCGUAAUAGCUCACUGGUCGAGUCGGCCUGCGCGGAAGAUGUAACGGGGCUAAACCAUGCACCGAAGCUGCGGCAGCGACACUAUGUGUUGUUGGGUAGGGGAGCGUUCUGUAAGCCUGCGAAGGUGUACUGUGAGGUAUGCUGGAGGUAUCAGAAGUGCGAAUGCUGACAUAAGUAACGAUAAAGCGGGUGAAAAGCCCGCUCGCCGGAAGACCAAGGGUUCCUGUCCAACGUUAAUCGGGGCAGGGUGAGUCGACCCCUAAGGCGAGGCCGAAAGGCGUAGUCGAUGGGAAACAGGUUAAUAUUCCUGUACUUGGUGUUACUGCGAAGGGGGGACGGAGAAGGCUAUGUUGGCCGGGCGACGGUUGUCCCGGUUUAAGCGUGUAGGCUGAUUUUCCAGGCAAAUCCGGAAAAUCAAGGCUGAGGCGUGAUGACGAGGCACUACGGUGCUGAAGCAACAAAUGCCCUGCUUCCAGGAAAAGCCUCUAAGCAUCAGGUAACAUCAAAUCGUACCCCAAACCGACACAGGUGGUCAGGUAGAGAAUACCAAGGCGCUUGAGAGAACUCGGGUGAAGGAACUAGGCAAAAUGGUGCCGUAACUUCGGGAGAAGGCACGCUGAUAUGUAGGUGAAGUCCCUUGCGGAUGGAGCUGAAAUCAGUCGAAGAUACCAGCUGGCUGCAACUGUUUAUUAAAAACACAGCACUGUGCAAACACGAAAGUGGACGUAUACGGUGUGACGCCUGCCCGGUGCCGGAAGGUUAAUUGAUGGGGUUAGCGGUAACGCGAAGCUCUUGAUCGAAGCCCCGGUAAACGGCGGCCGUAACUAUAACGGUCCUAAGGUAGCGAAAUUCCUUGUCGGGUAAGUUCCGACCUGCACGAAUGGCGUAAUGAUGGCCAGGCUGUCUCCACCCGAGACUCAGUGAAAUUGAACUCGCUGUGAAGAUGCAGUGUACCCGCGGCAAGACGGAAAGACCCCGUGAACCUUUACUAUAGCUUGACACUGAACAUUGAGCCUUGAUGUGUAGGAUAGGUGGGAGGCUUUGAAGUGUGGACGCCAGUCUGCAUGGAGCCGGCCUUGAAAUACCACCCUUUAAUGUUUGAUGUUCUAACGUUGGCCCCUGAUCGGGGUUGCGGACAGUGUCUGGUGGGUAGUUUGACUGGGGCGGUCUCCUCCUAAAGAGUAACGGAGGAGCACGAAGGUUGGCUAAUCCUGGUCGGACAUCAGGAGGUUAGUGCAAUGGCAUAAGCCAGCUUGACUGCGAGCGUGACGGCGCGAGCAGGUGCGAAAGCAGGUCAUAGUGAUCCGGUGGUUCUGAAUGGAAGGGCCAUCGCUCAACGGAUAAAAGGUACUCCGGGGAUAACAGGCUGAUACCGCCCAAGAGUUCAUAUCGACGGCGGUGUUUGGCACCUCGAUGUCGGCUCAUCACAUCCUGGGGCUGAAGUAGGUCCCAAGGGUAUGGCUGUUCGCCAUUUAAAGUGGUACGCGAGCUGGGUUUAGAACGUCGUGAGACAGUUCGGUCCCUAUCUGCCGUGGGCGCUGGAGAACUGAGGGGGGCUGCUCCUAGUACGAGAGGACCGGAGUGGACGCAUCACUGGUGUUCGGGUUGUCAUGCCAAUGGCACUGCCCGGUAGCUAAAUGCGGAAGAGAUAAGUGCUGAAAGCAUCUAAGCACGAAACUUGCCCCGAGAUGAGUUCUCCCUGACUCCUUGAGAGUCCUGAAGGAACGUUGAAGACGACGACGUUGAUAGGCCGGGUGUGUAAGCGCAGCGAUGCGUUGAGCUAACCGGUACUAAUGAACCGUGAGGCUUAACCUU